rnacentral:rRNA from 1 species
AGUGAACGCUGGCGGUAGGCCUAACACAUGCAAGUCGAACGGCAGCACAGUAAGAGCUUGCUCUUACGGGUGGCGAGUGGCGGACGGGUGAGGAAUACAUCGGAAUCUACUUUUUCGUGGGGGAUAACGUAGGGAAACUUACGCUAAUACCGCAUACGACCUACGGGUGAAAGCAGGGGAUCUUCGGACCUUGCGCGAUUGAAUGAGCCGAUGUCGGAUUAGCUAGUUGGCGGGGUAAAGGCCCACCAAGGCGACGAUCCGUAGCUGGUCUGAGAGGAUGAUCGCCCCCACUGGAAGUAGGAAACGGCCCGAAGCCCUAGGGGGGGAGGCGGGGGGAAGUUUGGAAAAUGGGGGGCAGGCCUAUUCAGCCCUCACGGCGGGGGGAAGAAGGACUUUGGGUUUGUAAGCCCUUUUGUUGGGAAAGAAAAGCAGCAGGUUAAUACCCCGCUGUUCUGACGGUACCCAAAGAAUAAGCACCGGCUAACUUCGUG